CUUUAAGUAGAAGCCCGGCGAGUUCCCCUUCCUUUCAGCGACUGUGAAGUGGCGAAGGUCCCGGCUGGGAGAAGGACGUCGGAUCUCGUCCUCCCAGCUUUUCGACCCUUCCCCGAAGCCCCUCAAUAAAAUGGCUUGAUCCCA